AAGACUAUACUUUCAGGGAUCAUUUGUAGAGUUUCUGACUUGAGAAAUGUGUUUCUAGAGUGUUUGGUCUCGCUCACCUCGAUGAUGAGUUGUGAUAUUCCUUUCUGAGCAUGAAGCAGAGAGUAAUGAUUCACUUCCUAUGCUCCUUGUUGUAGAUGAUUGUUCUUUUCUUCUUUAUGGAGUAUUUAGGAAGGGAAUAUGAUCAGAGUGGU